rnacentral:rRNA from 1 species
GCGCUUUAAGAAUAGCCUGCGUCUGAUUAGCUAGUUGGUAGGGUAAAGGCCUACCAAGGCGACGAUCAGUAGCUGGUCUGAGAGGAUGAUCAGCCACACUGGGACUGAGACACGGCCCAGACUCCUACGGGAGGCAGCAGUGGGGAAUAUUGGACAAUGGGGGGAACCCUGAUCCAGCAAUGCCGCGUGUGUGAAGAAGGCCUGAGGGUUGUAAAGCACUUUCAGUGGGGAGGAGGGAUGACUGGUUAAGAGCUGGUUAUUUGGACGUUACCCACAGAAGAAGCACCGGCUAACUCCGUGCCAGCAGCCGCGGUAAUAC